rnacentral:rRNA from 1 species
AGAGUUUGAUCCUGGCUCAGGACGAACGCUUGCGACGUGCCUAAGAAAUGCAAGUCGAACGGAUCAGCAGCAAUGCUGGUUAGUGGCGAACGGUCGCGUAACACGUGGGCAACCUGCCCUGAAGCGGGGGACAACAAGCCGAAAGGUUUGCUAAUACCGCAUGUGGAUCGCCCUGGCAUCAGGGAUUAUCCAAAGCAGCAAUGCACUUCAGGAUGGGCCCGCGGCCUAUCAGCUAGUUGGGGGGGUAACGGCCCACCAAGGCUUCGACGGGUAGCUGGUCUGAGAGGACGAUCAGCCGGAUUGGGACUGAGAUACGGCCCAGACUCCUACGGGGGGCAGCAAUUAGGAAUCUUGCACAAUGGGCGAAAGCCUGAUGCAGCGACGUCGCGUGGGGGACGAAAUCUUUCGGGAUGUAAACCCCUUUUGAGUGGGAAGAAACAAAUGACGGUACCACUCGAAUAAGCCCCGGCUAACUACGUGCCAGCAGCCGCGGUAAUACGUAGGGGGCCAGCGUUGUCCGAAGUUACUGGGCGUAAAGAGCGCGUAGGCGGGUCUUUAAGUGGGGGGUGAAAUUCUGAGGCUCAACCUCGGAACUGCCUUCCAUACUGGGGACCUUGAGUGCGGGAGAGGCGAGUGGAAUGGUCGGUGUAGCGGUGAAAUGCGUAGAUAUCGAUCGGAACACCCAUGGCGAAGGCAGCUCGCUGGCCUGCAACUGACGCUGAGGCGCGAAAGCCGGGGGAGCAAACAGGAUUAGAUACCCUGGUAGUCCCGGCCGUAAACGAUGAAUACUAGGUGUUGGGGGGUAUCGACCCCCCCUGUGCCGCAGCUAACGCAAUAAGUAUUCCGCCUGGGGAGUACGGCCGCAAGGUUGAAACUCAAAGGAAUUGACGGGGGCCCGCACAAGCGGUGGAGCAUGUGCAUUAAUUCGUCACUAACCGAAGAACCUUACCAGGGUUUGACAUCCCCGGACAGCCCGAGAGAUCGGGUGUUCCCCGCAAGGGGACCGGGUGACAGGUGUUGCAUGGUUGUCGUCAGCUCGUGUCGUGGGAUGUUGGGUUAAGUCCCGCAACGAGCGCAACCCUCACCCAAUGUUGGCAGCGUAAAGUCGGCCACUCUUUGGGAACUGCCCGUGUAAGCGGGAGGAAGGUGGGGAUGACGUCAAAUCGGCAUGGCCCUUACGCCCUGGGCUUGACACAUGCUACAAUGGCCGUUAAACAGAGCGAAGCAAUGCCGCGAGGCGGAGCCAAUCGCACAAAUACGGUCUCAGUUCGGAUUGCAGGCUGCAACUCGCCUGCAUGAAGUCGGAAUCGCUAGUAACCGCAGGUCAGCUAAACUGCGGUGAAUACGUUCCCGGGCCUUGUACACACUGCCCGUCAAGUCACUUGAGUCGUCUGCAGCCGAAGCCGGCGGCCUAACCUGCGCAAGUGGGAAGGAGCCGUCUAAGCUGUGGGGGGCGAGAGGGACUAAGUCGUAACAAGGUAGCCGUA